rnacentral:rRNA from 1 species
GUGGGGAAUAUUGCGCAAUGGGGGAAACCCUGACGCAGCGACGCCGCGUGAGCGAAGAAGGCCUUAGGGUUGUAAAGCUCUGUUUUAAGGGACGAAUGUCGUGGGGAGUAAUAUGCUCUGCGAAUGACGGUACCUUAAGAAGAAGCCCCGGCUAACUACGUGCCAGCAGCCGCGGUAAGACGUAGGGGGCGAGCGUUGUCCGGAAUUACUGGGCGUAAAGAGCACGUAGGCGGGAACUUAAGUCAGGUGUGAAAGACCGGGGCUCAACUCCGGGGUUGCACUUGAAACUGGGUUUCUUGAGGGCAGGAGAGGAAAGCAGAAUUCCUGGUGUAGCGGUGAAAUGCGUAGAAAUCAGGAGGAAUACCAGUGGCGAAGGCGGCUUUCUGGACUGACCCUGACGCUGAGGUGCGAAAGCGUGGGUAGCAAACAGGAUUAGAUACCCCAGUAGUCU